GACGAACCGUGCAAACGUUGUUCGGAAUCACUGGGCUUAAAGGGCGCGUAGGCGGUCAAGCGCGUCCGGGGUGAAAGCCUCCAGCUCAACUGGAGAAGUGCCUCGGAUACGGCUCGACUCGAGGGGGGUAGGGGCGUGUGGAACUUCCGGUGGAGCGGUGAAAUGCGUAGAUAUCGGAAGGAACGCCGGUGGCGAAAGCGGCACGCUGGACCCCUUCUGACGCUGAGGCGCGAAAGCCAGGGGAGCAAACGGG
rnacentral:rRNA from 1 species